CCUACGGGGGGCAGCAGUGAGGAAUAUUGGUCAAUGGCCGGAAGGCUGAACCAGCCAUGCCGCGUGAAGGUCAGUGCCCUAUGGGCGUUAAACUUCUUUUGUGCGGGAGCAAUAAUGGUCACGUGUGGCCAGACGAGAGUACCGUACGAAUAAGCAUUGGCUAACUCCGUGCCAGCAGCCGCGGUAAUACGGGGGAUGCAAGCGUUAUCCGGAAUUAUUGGGUUUAAAGGGUGCGUAGGCUGUGAGGUAAGUCAGCGGUGAAAUGCCCCCGCUCAACGGGGUGAAGUGCCAUUGAUACUGCCUGGCUGGAAUGCGGAUGCCGUGGGAGGAAUGUGUGGUGUAGCGGUGAAAUGCAUAGAUAUCACACAGAACACCGAUUGCGAAGGCAUCUCACGAAUCCGCGAUUGACGCUGAUGCACGAAAGCGUGGGUAUCAAACAGGAUUAGAUACCCUGGUAGUC
rnacentral:rRNA from 1 species